GUUUACAUUUUGAGGGGCAAGAAAAAGACUGGCUUCAGACCAGACACUUAUAACUAGCCUCCUGUUUGCAUUUGCUCCGGUUAGAUAUGUACAAUCAGUCUCCUGUUUGCUCUCCGAAAUGGAGGUAACAACUGAAACAGGGUAAAAAGCCAGGCUCUGUCUCUGCAGGUAUGGAAACCCUAAGAUAACAGUUGUGGCAGGAACAGGGAGGGACCAAACCUUGUUUGGGUAAAGGAUUAGAAGUUCAUAUAUUUCUCACCCUCUGGGCAAGGGAGAUAUUUCACACAUGCAGAAGGACUCCUUGGGGGUCAAAAGGGGACACCACCACAUAAUAUGUGAUGCUAGUACCUGACCCCAUAGGCCUCUGGGCUGGAAUCCGUCUUGAACAAAAAGUUCUGUGUGCAUGUCAGGAGGGCCCUAGGGUAGAUCAGGUGUGGAAAAAGAAACUAGAUAAUUGGCUAAAGGUAAGCAAAGACCCCAAAGAACUAUCCUAAAGAAAUGACUUAACCCGUUUCUUUACUGCACUCCUCUUCACUAGCGGGGCGGGGUGGCGCGUCCACACCCUUUCUCUCCGAAUGUUCAUCUCUGCCUUGCUUCUAUCUUAACAAACUGUGUCUCUGUAUGCUCUCCCACUUGUCGUUGUGCUGUCUUUAAUAAUAAACUCUGUACCUGCAUUUACAGUUUUUGCUUCCGUAAGAAAUGUAUUUUUCGCUGGGGGCAAAAAUCCAGUGAAAACAGCUUCUGCUUCUAACCCUUGCUAGUCUGCUGGCAAGGAUUACUGGUUUUUAUCCAAGCUACUCAGGUUCAACUCCUAAGCAGGGAAUCAAGAUCUCGCUUCACACCACUGCCCACUGCUGCCUCUCCAAGAUCAAGCUGUUCUCCUUAAGUAGGAAUGGGUACUUACAAAAACCAUGAAGCAGCCUAUCUAAGCUUCAGUAUACUUACUUCAAUAUACUUCAAGCCUAGUUCUUUCAGAUCCUUCUCUCUGUGCUCUCUGGAGGGGUCACGUGUGCUGACUGUUGUGUCUGGGGAUGUCACAGGCCUGUCUUCACACCUGUGA
rnacentral:lncRNA from 1 species